rnacentral:rRNA from 1 species
CCAAUAGCGUAUAUUAAAGCUGUUGCGGUUAAAAAGCUCGUAGUUGGAUUUCUGUCAAGGACAACUGGUCCGCCCUCCGGGUGAGCACAUAGUUUGGUCUUGACAUCUUGCUGGAAGCUGUUGCUGCACUUGGCUGUGUGGCGCAGUGUUCAGCACUUUCACUUUGAGGAAAUUGGAGUGUUUCAAGCAGGCACAUGCCUUUGGACACAGUAGCAUGGAAUAAUUAGAUUGGGCUUUUGCUCCAAUUUGUCGGUUUCUGGAGCUGAGGUGAGUAUUAAUGGGGAUUGUUGGGGGCAUCCGAAUUUAGCCGUCAGAGGUGAAAUUCUUGGAUCUGCUAAAGACGGACAACUGCGAAAGCGUUUGCCCAGGAUGUUUUCAUUGA